rnacentral:rRNA from 1 species
AUGCUUUUCCUAAAGAUUAAGCCAUGCAUGCCUAAGACUAUGAGGAAGCAAUUCUCUCUGAAUCUGCGAACGGCUCCGCAAACCAGUUGUAAACCAUAGCAGCGUUCCGCCCGGCUUCAGCAAUGGAGCCGGGCAUUAUAUGGAUAACCGUGGUAAUUCUGAGGCUAAUACAUGACACACCAACCUGCCGGGCUGGGGGGCAACUCCGGCUAGGUGGGGGGACGUGCAAACUCCCAUUGCUAUAACAAAACCACGAAUGAAUG